GACGAACGCUGGCGGCGUGCUUAACACAUGCAAGUCGAACGGUGAAGCGCCUUCCUUUUUGGUGGGUGUGGAUGAGUGGCGAACGGGCGAGUAACACGUGAGUAACCUGCCCCCUUCUUCUGGAUAACCGCAUGAAAGUGUGGCUAAUACGGGAUAUUCUGGGUCUGUCGCAUGAUGGGUCCGGGAAAGAUAUUGUUUCGGUGGGGGAUGGGCUCGCGGCCUAUCAGCUUGUUGGUGGGGUGAUGGCCUACCAAGGCGGUGGCGGGUAGCCGGCCUGGGAGGGUGGACGGUCACACUGGGACUGAGACACGGCCCAGACUCCUACGGGAGGCAGCAGUGGGGAAUAUUGCACAAUGGGCGCAAGCCUGAUGCAGCGACGCCGCGUGAGGGAUGGAGGCCUUCGGGUUGUGAACCUCUUUCGCCAGUGAAGCAGGCCUGCCUCGUUUGUGGGUGGGUUGACGGUAGCUGGAUAAGAAGCGCCGGCUAACUACGUG
rnacentral:rRNA from 1 species